GGCCCUUUAUCUUCAUGAUUUAUAAUGUAAAUCAUUGAUUUUCGGUUGUUCUUGUAGGAACUCAUAAUCGCUUGGUCGUUGGUUCAAACCCAACAGGGGCCACCA
rnacentral:tRNA from 1 species